UACGGAGGGUGCAAGCGUUAAUCGGAAUUACUGGGCGUAAAGCGUGCGCAGGCGGUUAUGCAAGACAGAGGUGAAAUCCCCGGGCUCAACCUGGGAACUGCCUUUGUGACUGCAUAGCUAGAGUACGGUAGAGGGGGAUGGAAUUCCGCGUGUAGCAGUGAAAUGCGUAGAUAUGCGGAGGAACACCGAUGGCGAAGGCAAUCCCCUGGACCUGUACUGACGCUCAUGCACGAAAGCGUGGGGAGCAAACAGG
rnacentral:rRNA from 1 species